AUGGCUGAAAAGCCACACCAGAAUUCCUGCAAUUCAGUGAAGCAGCUGUUCAAAACCAAGCAGCUGGUGACGCACAGGGACAGAGGGAGCUGCACGCACAGGGCCCAGGGGCUGCCGGGACCGCCGCAUUGCGGAGGUCUCCCUUGCAGCAGGAGAUCUGGGAGGCCACGAUGGCACUUAACCUGCCCUCUGCCCCGGCACCCCAGGGACUCACUGCCAAAGACACUCACUUUCUGGGAGACACAGACCCCAUCCAGGAAGGGGCACAAGACCACACUGCAGGAGGCCCCUUCCGAGACCGCCAAGCAUCCGUAGCAGCGCAGACCCUGAGCUGGGAGACAGGGCAAGGAUUCUCUAGGCACCAUGGGAACCACCUCCUUUACUCUCACUGAACACCCCUGGGAUGUAUCUGUAAAAACUGGAACACCUUUCGGCUAGGUACAAUAGGGACUCACCCGGUUGGAGCAGCUCGCACUGGGACUUCACACCAUCCAGGGCCAGAGAAACCGCUCCCCUUAUGGGAGGUCCCAAAUGGAGAGGGGACCAUUAUGGCACAUGUCCCAUAAAUGAUCUAAUUUAUGGACUCACAUCAAUAAAUGAGCUAAUCCAAUGGAAGCAAAAA